AUACGUAGGUGGCAAGCGUUGUCCGGAAUUACUGGGUGUAAAGGGCGUGUAGGCGGAGCAGCAAGUCAGAAGUGAAAUCUCCGGGCUUAACCCGGAAACUGCUUUUGAAACUGUUGCCCUUGAGUAUCGGAGAGGCAGGCGGAAUUCCUAGUGUAGCGGUGAAAGGCGUAGAUAUUAGGAGGAACACCAGUGGCGAAGGCGGCCUGCUGGACGACAACUGACGCUGAGGCGCGAAAGCGUGGGGAGCAAACAGGAUUAGAUACCCUGGUAGUCCACGCCCUAAACGAUGUCAACUGGUUGUUGGGUCUUCAUUGACUCAGUAACGAAGCUAACGCGUGAAGUUGACCGCCUGGGGAGUACGGCCGCAAGGUUGAAACUCAAAUGAAUUGACGGGG
rnacentral:rRNA from 1 species